rnacentral:rRNA from 1 species
UUAAAUUGAAGAGUUUGAUCAUGGCUCAGAUUGAACGCUGGCGGCAGGCCUAACACAUGCAAGUCGAACGGUAACAGGAAACAGCUUGCUGUUUCGAUGACGAGUGGCGGACGGGUGAGUAAUGUCUGGGAAACUGCCUGAUG